CCCAUUUAUUUAUGUGCUCAUAAACUUGUGUGUGGCUUUUCUUCACGCUCUUCAUCUUUCUCAGUUCAAGUUAAUUGGUGGGUAGGUUCAAAGUUUUGAUCUGAAGCCAUUACAAACAAGAUAACCUAAUAUCCAUUGCUUUCAGGGAAAUGCCCGGUGACACACCAUUUGGUGACCUUCCACCUUCACAAGGUGGGGACAAGAUUCAUACAUGUACCAAAAAAAA